rnacentral:rRNA from 1 species
AUGAACGCUGGCGGCGUGCCUAAUACAUGCAAGUCGAGCGAACAGACGAGGAGCUUGCUCCUCUGACGUUAGCGGCGGACGGGUGAGUAACACGUGGAUAACCUACCUAUAAGACUGGGAUAACUUCGGGAAACCGGAGCUAAUACCGGAUAAUAUAUUGAACCGCAUGGUUCAAUAGUGAAAGACGGUUUUGCUGUCACUUAUAGAUGGAUCCGCGCCGCAUUAGCUAGUUGGUAAGGUAACGGCUUACCAAGGCAACGAUGCGUAGCCGACCUGAGAGGGUGAUCGGCCACACUGGAACUGAGACACGGUCCAGACUCCUACGGGAGGCAGCAGUAGGGAAUCUUCCGCAAUGGGCGAAAGCCUGACGGAGCAACGCCGCGUGAGUGAUGAAGGUCCUCGGAUCGUAAAACUCUGUUAUUAGGGAAGAACAAAUGUGUAAGUAACUAUGCACGUCUUGACGGUACCUAAUCAGAAAGCCACGGCUAACUACGU